rnacentral:misc_RNA from 1 species
GAUGAAGAACGUAGCGAAAUGCGAUAAGUAAUGUGAAUUGCAGAAUUCAGUGAAUCAUCGAAUCUUUGAACGCACAUUGCGCCCGCCAGCACUCUGGCGGGCAUGCCUGUUCGAGCGUCAUUUCAACCAUCAAGCCCCCAGGGGCUUGUGCUGGGGCCCUGCGGCUGCCCGCAGGCCCUGAAAACCAGUGGCGGGCUCGCUAGUCACACCGAGCGCAGUAGCACAUCUCGCUCAGGGCGUGCGGCGGGCUCCUGCCGUGAAACCCCCCACUGUAACCCCAAAGGUUGACCUCGGAUCAGGUAGGAAUACCCGCUGAACUUAAGCAUAUCAAUAAGCGGUGGA